UUACCACAAUAUAUUUUAUAUUUUUUACAUUAUAAUAAUGACUAAAGCUUUUCAGACAAGCCCACUUACACUCUAUAGUAUAGGAUUAGUUACUGAAGCAUUCAUGGCAUUUAACCAGUGCCUAAAAAUGUAUUUGUGCAUCAUCCUCUAAAAAUGAAACCUCCACUCUUCAGUAUUGAAGGAUUUAAGAGGGAUUGAAUUUUAUCCAGUGGUAAUAUUCAUAAACGUUACCCUCCAUGAAAACUACAUAGAUAUCCACAGGAUCAGAGCAAGGCUCUUUGGCGUAUGUGGGAAGUCAAAAAAAAAAAAAAAAAAAAAAAAAGUCCCCAUUAUUCAGCACAUUGCCUAAACAACUCAGAGCAUAGAGGACAUUUUCCUAAUCCCACAAAGCAAUCUUUCCCUCUAGACAGUGAAUCAACUUGGGUAAUAACUUUAAAAACUAACCUAAACAUGUUUUAGUUUCUCUGUUUACUUAUGUUGGCAAUCAAACCAAGACUUUGUGCAAACAACAUAGAUGUUCUACGCUAUUGAGCUGUGUCUCUUAACUGUUGGAAUAUACAAUGAGUUAUUUUUCCUUCAACUUUUGAGUUUAUGUAUCUUGUAAAUGCAGUUGAGAUUUAAAGAUGUUAUUCUUCUGUUUCAACUCAACAAAAGCAGUAUACCCUAGUUGUGUCCUUUUGUAGGUUCUCGGUCAGCCAGGUAGUACCUUUAUUUACUAGAAAAAGAUCUUUGGUGAACCAGAUUACAGAAUUAUAUAGCAUGUCACAAAAUGUGGCUCUUCACAAAGUAUAAAAGCCAGUUUCCUUGUACAAAUACCCCUGAAGUAUGUUAGUUACUCGUUCUAAAAAUAAGACCCCAUCCUCCCUCAGACUGGCUACUAAAAGCAUACAAGACUAGUUUACGAACGUGUUCUCUAACAUCCUAAUUGUGGGUCUUGAGAAUAAAAGAAUGAGAAUGUACCCAAUUCCUUACCUGCAAUGUUGUAAAUAUUGGCAUUAGCCUCCUAUCAAUCCUUUGUGAGUCCAUUCCACGUCCCACUUUGUUCUCAGACCUCCUCCAAGCCCUCUCCAGAAAAGACCGCUGCAUCCUUCAGAGUCCAGCCAGAGGGGAGGUGUUUAUAGUUUCAAAUGGAGCAUUGCUCAAUGCAAAGUCAUAGCCAGUGAGUAGUACUUCAGUUAAAUUGUUCUCUAGAUAAGAGGAAUGACAAGCAGUUAGGAGGCUUGGAUGAACAAAGGCCCCUUCCUUCACCCAGUCAGUCUCUUUCAGUGUCUAGUCUCUGCCUUUACCUUUACCCCUCUCUUCUUUCACUCCUACCACAGUCUCUGAAUGGGCCCUGUAGUUUUUCCCUAGUCACUUAGACUGAAGAUCAAGGUCAAAGUGAGCUUUUGAACUUUAAAACAGUCAUUAGCAGAAUACACAGUGAUGUACAGAAGUAAGUAGAGCAGGGUUUUAUGUGUUGCUUUCAGUUGCUUGUAUUUACCAAAAGUAUAUUGCUUGAGGUUAAAAUGUUUUCUUUUCUUAGAAAAGUAUAUGUCAUGAAACAGGCAACAUAGUACCAUAUAAGCCAGGCAUGAUGAUACAUAUGUGUCAUCCCAGCAUGGUGUACACCCAUAGUCCUAGUACUCAGAAGGUAAAAGCAGGAAAAUGGAAAUUCAAGGGCAUUUUAAGUCACACUGGGAUUCGAAGCCAGCCCUGCAACAUGAAAUCCUGUAGAACAAGGUAUCAGUUUUAAUAGGCCUCCCUCAGCUCUUACAUCUCUCAGCUAGCUUAAAGAUAUUUAAGGCUCCCUCUACAUACUCUGUUUUCUUCUUCCCUUUAGGAUAGCCCCAUAUUUCCACAUGAAGACAAAAUUAGAACACAUUGUGUCAGUUUUGAUUAUUUAAUCACUAACCAUAAGGACCUGGAAAAAUGCUAACAGGAAUUACAGAUCAGAUUCCAGUAUUUUUAAUCAAGCCAGAUAUAUGCCUAUAACCCCAGCACAGGAGAGUAUAAGGAAAAAGAGUGACCUCCAGGACAGCCUGGGCUACAGAGUAAACCCUGUCUCAAAAACACAAAUGUUAAUGUCUAAAGUACUUUUCAUUUCAAUUCCUGGUAUGAUGAACAACACAGGCUUCUUGU
rnacentral:lncRNA from 1 species